rnacentral:rRNA from 1 species
UACGGGGGGGGUAAGCGUUGUUCGGAAUUACUGGGCGUAAAGGGCUCGUAGGCGGCCAACUAAGUCAUACGUGAAAUCCCUCAGCUUAACUGGGGAACUGCGUGUGAUACUGGAUGGCUUGGAUUUGGGAGAGGGAUGCGGGAAUUCCAGGUGUAGCGGUGAAAUGCGUAGAUAUCUGGAGGAACACCGGUGGCGAAGGCGGCAUCCUGGACCAAUAUUGACGCUGAGGAGCGAAAGCCAGGGGAGCAAACGGGG